AUGACAGCAAAUAAGUCUCCAAAAGGGUCUGAAAAACUAACACCCCUGAAAGCCUCAGGUUCAAAACAAAAGAAAAAACAAGACUCCGAUGUCUCCCCCAAGAAAAACCCAACCUUAGACAAUUUCCUGUUCAGAAAACGAGCAGGAGAUGAUACAGAAACUAACGUGAGAGACCAAGGUGCGAGCUCAUCAGUAGCGUCUUCUCCGAAGAAACCAAAGCUAGACUUUGAUGCACAAGGGAGAAAAGAUAAAUACUUGGUGGAUGUUUUUGCGGGCGUCAAAAUGGAACUUCCGAAGAGAGAUAUUGCCGAUUACGAAACCUUGUAUAGGUACUUCGUUGCUUAUGGAGGUGUAGUUUUACACCCGAGCACGGCGAAAGAGGAUCGCACACACGUUCUGUCGACGCCGUCAACUAAGGCGAAAGGCUUGUCAGUGCCCCUUGUCCAAGUUUCUUGGCUUUGGGACAGCAUAAAAUUGCAAAAACUUCAAGAUCCUGUCAAUUACCUGGUUUACUGAGGUUCCAUUUUAGCGGAGAAGGAGAAAGAAUCGUGAGUUAAAAGGUAAAUAUCCACCCUUUUUCUUCUCUACUAUCGGAAGUGUAAGAACAAUAAAAAAUCGAGUAUUUACUGCGGAAAAUAUUCUGAAAAGUACUAUAAUCCUCACUCAGGGAUCUCAAUCCUUGCGUAAUACGUUCAAAUUAUCGUAACCGACCACUGGACAUGGUAAGAACAGGUGCAUUUUAGAUGUGUUUCUUUAGCACAAAUUCAACAGAAUACGUUAAAAUCGUCCCGAAAUUUCACUCUUGAGUUCUGAAUGCUACGUACAUAUAAACGUGGCUACAUUUUUCAAGAAAAUGUUGAUUGGAAUUGGUUCCAGAGUGUCUACCGGUCCCCUAAAGUCCCCAAUGUCCCCGAUUAUCCACGAUUUUGGAAGGGUGUCCCUGAUAUCCCCGAAAGUCUCGAAUUUUCUUACUCAGGUCCCCUAAAAAUGACAAAAAUCGUCCUAAACGCCGGCAUUUUCAAAUUUUCCCGCCGGCCGCGGCGGCGCGGUAUGACCAGGGAUAAAAAAACUGAAGUAUUGUUUGGUUUUUCGUCGGUUCACCAUGACUUGUAAAAUUAGUCUUAUAAAAUACGCCUUUUAACGCGUUAGCUUGCUCCCUUUCUCUUUCUCUUCCGGUAAAAACUAGAGUACCUGUAUAGCGAGAGUAUGGACAGCUCUGUAACUCCGAAAAUCCAUCAGGCCUUCACCGAUGCCUCCGCGAAUAAAGUUAGGGCCCAGAAAUGCAGCCUACCUAUGAAUUUCAAUUAUCCAGAGCGCUUUACUAAUACAAUUGUUACGAACCAUCGUUUAUUAAGCAAGUAUGUGACUUAGUUUUUGCAUAAAUUUACUCAUUUUUGCGGAAGAACGCUCAUUUAUGUACAUUCUUAGCCAUCUUGGUCAGAAUUGGAAUCUGCAGACUGGCAGUGAAAUUUUGUGCGUUAGAAGUUGGUUAGAAGGGUGGCUGCACUUUUGGGCCCUAAGCCCUCCAUGAAGCGAGCUGUCCAUACUCUCGCUAUACAGGUACUCUAGUAAAAACAGUCCCCAAUUUUCUUGAAAAAAACCCCCUAAAAGUGGGGACUUUUCCCUCCCUUGGGGACUUUGGUCCCCUAUUUCGGUUUUUAUAAUUGGUAGCCAUCCUGGGUACGGAGUGGUCGCCGAUUGUUUGUGAGUAAUAGGAGGUUGACGCCAACCUGGCUAAAUUUUCAAAGGAGAGGGGAGAGGGGAUCUAAGACUCGGCAAAAAAUCUUGAUGGAGAUCGGGGAGCACUGAGCGCUGGAAGUCUCGAGAGGAUGGAGUGAUCGUAUCUUGAGCCCGUGCAGCGUGGCGUGGCAUCGACGGGCGUCAGUGGGCGAGCUCCCACCUGUCAACAAGUCAAAGUCGUUUGAAGAACCGCGAGAAUUGAUGAUGCCACCGCGGAAGAACGCCUCCUCCAGCGCCCCCACACCCUCGCGCCGCGGGAGAUCCAAUUCCUCCCGCGAGUGCAGUGGUUUCAUUUCGAUCAGCCGCGCUUUUCGUUUAACCGAAUUAACAUUUCCACUCAUUUUUUCCACCGCUGUUGUCGCUUCGGUAAGUCAGUCGGCUAGGGCUCCCUGUUGUCUGAAAAAUGUGUAAUCGCAUGGAGGAAAGAGCUACACGCACUGAAAAAAAAUAUCGGUGUAUUUAC
rnacentral:lncRNA from 1 species